rnacentral:rRNA from 1 species
AGUGAACGCUGGCGGUAGGCCUAACACAUGCGAGUCGAACGGCAGCACAGUAAGAGCUUGCUCUUACGGGUGGCGAGUGGCGGACGGGUGAGGAAUACAUCGGAAUCUACUUUUUCGUGGGGGAUAACGUAGGGAAACUUACGCUAAUACCGCAUACGACCUACGGGUGAAAGCAGGGGAUCUUCGGACCUUGCGCGAUUGAAUGAGCCGAUGUCGGAUUAGCUAGUUGGCGGGGUAAAGGCCCGCCAAGGCGACGAUCCGUAGCUGGUCUGAGAGGAUGAUCAGCCACACUGGAACUGAGACACGGUCCAGACUCCUACGGGAGGCAGCAGUGGGGAAUAUUGGACAAUGGGCGCAAGCCUGAUCCAGCUAUACCGCGUGGGUGAAGAAGGCCUUCGGGUUGUAAAGCCCUUUUGUUGGGAAAGAAAAGCAGCAGGUUAAUACCCCGCUGUUCUGACGGUACCCAAAGAAUAAGCACCGGCUAACUUCGUG